rnacentral:piRNA from 1 species
UAAGUUUUAAACAUAACAAUAGGAUGAAGU